ACACAGAAGGCAAAAGGGAAACCAUUUGAGAUGCGUGCUGCAAUAUGGAUGAACCUUGAGCACAUUGUGCUAGUUGAGUCACCCCAUCGUGUCUGCCACUUCCGAAGCAGCUCUGGAGUCCUCUUUCAGGAGUGUCUGACGGUGUGUGGUCAGAAACAGCGAAUGCUGCUGCCUUCUGGCCCUGGGAGACUCCGGCUCCGCCCUCAAGUCAGAAUGGCCACGACAGUAAUCCAAGAAAUGAGUGUAAGAACGGAAUCCACCAAGAGCGCGUCCGGACAGGAAGUUCACAGCCGAACGGUUCUCAGCCAGGACCGGGCGAGAUCCGAGCCCAAGCUGCCUUGCAUCAAUUAAAACAGGGAGACAGAGGAUUUUCGAAGAGGGAGACCGGAUACAGGAAGAAUGCUGAUAUGGUAGCCCUCUAUGGAAAUAACAUCAGAAACCUGGAAUUCUACCUCAAGCUUGAUUACAGCAAGCGACACCAGCCCAGGGCUAGCAGUGGAUCGUCAGCACGUGACAGCAUGCAUCCUCAUCUCGCAG